rnacentral:rRNA from 1 species
GACGAACGCCGUCGGCGUGCUUAACACAUGCAAGUCGAACGGAAAGGCCCUGCUUUUGUGGGGUGCUCGAGUGGCGAACGGGUGAGUAACACGUGAGUAACCUGCCCUUGACUUUGGGAUAACUUCAGGAAACUGGGGCUAAUACCGGAUAGGAGCUCCUGCUGCAUGGUGGGGGUUGGAAAGUUUCGGCGGUUGGGGAUGGACUCGCGGCUUAUCAGCUUGUUGGUGGGGUAGUGGCUUACCAAGGCUUUGACGGGUAGCCGGCCUGAGAGGGUGACCGGCCACAUUGGGACUGAGAUACGGCCCAGACUCCUACGGGAGGCAGCAGUGGGGAAUAUUGCACAAUGGGCGGAAGCCUGAUGCAGCAACGCCGCGUGCGGGAUGACGGCCUUCGGGUUGUAAACCGCUUUCGCCUGUGACGAAGCGUGAGUGACGGUAAUGGGUAAAGAAGCACCGGCUAACUACGUGCCAGCAGCCGCGGUGAUACGUAGGGUGCGAGCGUUGUCCGGAUUUAUUGGGCGUAAAGGGCUCGUAGGUGGUUGAUCGCGUCGGAAGUGUAAUCUUGGGGCUUAACCCUGAGCGUGCUUUCGAUACGGGUUGACUUGAGGAAGGUAGGGGAGAAUGGAAUUCCUGGUGGAGCGGUGGAAUGCGCAGAUAUCAGGAGGAACACCAGUGGCGAAGGCGGUUCUCUGGGCCUUUCCUGACGCUGAGGAGCGAAAGCGUGGGGAGCGAACAGGCUUAGAUACCCUGGUAGUCCACGCUGUAAACGGUGGGUACUAGGUGUGGGGUCCAUUCCACGGGUUCCGUGCCGUAGCUAACGCUUUAAGUACCCCGCCUGGGGAGUACGGCCGCAAGGCUAAAACUCAAAGGAAUUGACGGGGCCCCGCACAAGCGGCGGAGCAUGCGGAUUAAUUCGAUGCAACGCGUAGAACCUUACCUGGGUUUGACAUGGAUCGGGAGUGCUCAGAGAUGGGUGUGCCUCUUUUGGGGUCGGUUCACAGGUGGUGCAUGCCUGUCGUCAGCUCGUGUCGUGAGAUGUUGGGUUAAGUCCCGCAACGAGCGCAACCCUUGUUCACUGUUGCCAGCACGUUAUGGUGGGGACUCAGUGGAGACCGCCGGGGUCAACUCGGAGGAAGGUGGGGAUGACGUCAAGUCCUCAUGCCCCUUAUGUCCAGGGCUUCACGCAUGCUACAAUGGCUGGUACAGAGAGUGGCGAGCCUGUGAGGGUGAGCGAAUCUCGGAAAGCCGGUCUCAGUUCGGAUUGGGGUCUGCAACUCGACCACAUGAAGUCGGAGUCGCUAGUAAUCGCAGAUCAGCAACGCUGCGGUGAAUACGUUCCCGGG